rnacentral:piRNA from 1 species
UAGCAAUUUGGAACUACGUUUUGGGUUACUG